rnacentral:tRNA from 1 species
GACGCUGUGGCCGAACGGUUUCCAGGCACCGGAUUGCAGGUCCGGAUCAUGUGGGUUCGACUCCCACCAGCGUCU